GCCUGCGUGGCUUAAUGGAUAAGGCGUCUACCUCCUUAGUAGAAGAUUGCGAGUUCGAGUCCUGCCGUGGGUG
rfam:Schistosoma mattheei strain Denwood, Zambia genome assembly, scaffold: SMTD_scaffold0005477